GAUUUGCGCUGGAAGAGAAUGCGUCAAAGUGAGAUCUCCCAAAGCAAGGAAACCAGAGGGUUGGCAGAGGGACAUGGAACCUGAACAUGAAACCACUGACUCCAGAAAACAAUGAGUAACUCAAAAAGGUUCACACAGGAUUCUAAGAUCAAUGGCUGAAGGAAGAAGAUGAUUCACUGGUGUCCUCACAGGCUGACAUACUAAGGAUCAGCAAAUCAGUUAAUGUCAGGCUGUACGACAUGAAACCCACUGACACUUGUCCUUCCUGUCCCCCAUCCAGGAGGUUUUAUAUGGCAGCAAGCAGGAGAGUCUUGAUCACCCGCUAUCUCUAGACAUGUUGACAAAGGCCUCUGGUCCUUUGAGAAGAGCAAAACUCUCAGAAGCAACAAUGUGCUGGUCAAGUUUUUUGGACUGUGGGACUGGAACAAUCCUAACACACUGAAAGUGUAUGGAACCAAGCACCUGGCUGGCAGCAUAAUCAGAAUCAUAAUCAGAUGAGGAAAGCCAUCAUAUACAAGCAAAGGAGGGAGAAGGAAGAGAUUUGAAAUGGGCAGCCCGUUUCAUGACAAAAUUCUAUCCAAGGCCAUCACCAGUCAGGUCAAGUCUGCCCUGGAACUGUUGAUCCAUGUGCAUCAGACCUAUGCCAUA